rnacentral:rRNA from 1 species
GCAUGUCUAAGUAUAAGCAAUUAUACCGCGAAACUGCGAAUGGCUCAUUAUAUAAGUUAUCGUUUAUUUGAUAAUACUUUACUACUUGGAUAACCGUGGUAAUUCUAGAGCUAAUACAUGCUGAAAAUCCCGACUUCGGAAGGGAUGUAUUUAUUAGAUUAAAAACCAAUGCCCCUCGGGGCUCUCUGGUGAAUCAUGAUAACUAGUCGAAUCGACAGGCCUUGUGCCGGCGAUGGCUCAUUCAAAUUUCUUCCCUAUCAACUUUCGAUGUUUGGGUAUUGGCCAAACAUGGUGGCAACGGGUAACGGAGGGUUAGGGCUCGACCCCGGAGAAGGAGCCUGAGAAACGGCUACUACAUCCAAGGAAGGCAGCAGGCGCGCAAAUUACCCAAUCCCGACACGGGGAGGUAGUGACAAUAAAUACUGAUACAGGGCUCUUUUGGGUCUUGUAAUCGGAAUGAGUACAAUUUAAAUCCCUUAACGAGGAACAAUUGGAGGGCAAGUCUGGUGCCAGCAGCCGCGGUAAUUCCAGCUCCAAUAGCGUAUAUUAAAGUUGUUGUGGUUAAAAAGCUCGUAGUUGAACCUUGGGCCUGGCUGGCCGGUCCGCCUCACCGCGUGCACUGGUCCGGCCGGGCCUUUCCCUCUGCGGAACCCCAUGCCCUUCACUGGGUGUGGCGGGGAAACAGGACUUUUACUUUGAAAAAAUUAGAGUGCUCAAGGCAGGCCUAUGCUCGAAUACAUUAGCAUGGAAUAAUAGAAUAGGACGUGUGGUUCUAUUUUGUUGGUUUCUAGGACCGCCGUAAUGAUUAAUAGGGACAGUCGGGGGCAUCAGUAUUCAAUUGUCAGAGGUGAAAUUCUUGGAUUUAUUGAAGACUAACUACUGCGAAAGCAUUUGCCAAGGAUGUUUUCAUUAAUCAGGAACGAAAGUUAGGGGAUCGAAGACGAUCAGAUACCGUCGUAGUCUUAACCAUAAACUAUGCCGACUAGGGAUCGGACGAUGUUACAUUUUUGACGCGUUCGGCACCUUACGAGAAAUCAAAGUGCUUGGGCUCCAGGGGGAGUAUGGUCGCAAGGCU